AGGGUGCUUCGAGGAGUCCAUCUUCUUCAAGGUAAAAACUUAUACUUGAGAAGAUUGGCAAUCGAUGGUUCUGGGCUUACCCAAAUGGGAGUAAGGUGUUCCUUCCUUUCAUUGGGAAAAUAAGGAUGUCAACCAUGAGGACGACAACAUAUUUCUCCAACCAUCACAUAGGUGCAUUGCUCAUGGGAUAUGUGAGAGGAGCGGGCAUUUUUUCUGAAUGGUUACUUGUCUAGGGGUUUUGUGGUGGUCGAGGUGGAGUACUGGUCAAAGUCUAGUGACUUAAAGCCAAAACAUGUGGUAAUCUGACCAUAUUAUGGCUUGGUGUAGCAUCGGGAUUUCAAGGAACUUGGAAUGUUAGUGAACUUUCACCAUCUUAUCAUUGAGCACAAUCCUUAGGUGCCAAUAGUCUAACCUCUAUCUCCAGACAAAAUUACCUUAUAUCGCCGAAGGUGUUAUCUUAUAUAAGCCAACUCCAACAUCAUUUAUGCUAUUGAACUAGAAGGUUUGAGAGAAGGACUAAACCAAAAUCUCAUAAGUGUACUAGAGCCAACUCACAUGUAUCCUUAUGUAAAAAUCCAAGACCUUGUUUCCUUACUACGAAUCCAAUCAAGUGGUCCUUAAUUGCCAUCUAUCAUUAGAC
rnacentral:lncRNA from 1 species